rnacentral:lncRNA from 1 species
AGAUGUGGUCAGUUCCAUUGGGAAGUGGGGUUUUCAUCAGCAGGGACUCUGCGGCAACUCACCUGCUUUCUGCUCCAAGAGUCCAGCACCCUGAGAUCCUGAUGCCAGGGUAAGCUGGGGGACUGCUCAUAGCCAAAGAUGCAGGUAACAGCUCUGUCAUCUAUGGCUCAAACGUCACUCACCAGGGAGUUGCUGCAGACCUGUAUGUAUCCUUAUCAGAGAAAUAGANGCUAUUGAGAACCUAAGCCGGUGCCUCAUGGAUAAGGAAACUCCAUGGAAGUUAGAGCUGCCCUGUAAUUUGCAUCCCCCAUAUCUUAGAAACCAGAAUGAAAGGUCUACAGCAGAGACUGAAGAGAGGAAGGCUCAUCACUUGGACCACCAAAGAACUAAGAAAGGUCUCAAGAUCCCUCUGCUAUGGUUAAAUCUAGUCAAGCAACCCAUCCCAGCAAGAGGCAGGAGGCGGUUCAGAGAGUCAUCAAAGCCAUUUUCACAAGGUAGACAUAGGACUGGGGGAAUUAAAGGUUUUCAUGGCCUCACUUGCCAACCUGCC